CAGAGGUCUCAAGCGUUGUUCGGAUUCAUUGGGCGUAAAGGGUGCGUAGGUGGCGCGGUAAGUCGGGUGUGAAAUCUCGGAGCUCAACUCCGAAAUUGCAUUCGAUACUGCCGUGCUCGAGGACUGGAGAGGAGACUGGAAUUCAUGGUGUAGCAGUGAAAUGCGUAGAGAUCAUGAGGAAGACCAGUGGCGAAGGCGGGUCUCUGGACAGUUCCUGACACUGAGGCACGAAGGCCAGGGGAGCAAACGGGAUUAGAUACCCCGGUAGUCCUGGCAGUAAACGGUGCACGUUUGGUGUGGGAGGAUUCGACCCCUUCCGCGCCGGAGCUAACGCGUUAAACGUGCCGCCUGGGGAGUACGGUCGCAAGAUUA
rnacentral:rRNA from 1 species